UAGUCCACGCUGUAAACGAUGUCGACUUGGAGGUUGUGCCCNUGAGGCGUGGCUUCCGGAGCUAACGCGUUAAGUCGACCGCCUGGGGAGUACGGCCGCAAGGUUAAAACUCAAAUGAAUUGACGGGGGCCCGCACAAGCGGUGGAGCAUGUGGUUUAAUUCGAUGCAACGCGAAGAACCUUACCUACUCUUGACAUCCACGGAACUUGCCAGAGAUGGCUUGGUGCCUUCGGGAACCGUGAGACAGGUGCUGCAUGGCUGUCGUCAGCUCGUGUUGUGAAAUGUUGGGUUAAGUCCCGCAACGAGCGCAACCCUUAUCCUUUGUUGCCAGCACUUCGGGUGGGAACUCAAAGGAGACUGCCGGUGAUAAACCGGAGGAAGGUGGGGAUGACGUCAAGUCAUCAUGGCCCUUACGAGUAGGGCUACACACGUGCUACAAUGGCGUAUACAAAGAGAAGCAAACUCGCGAGAGCCAGCGGACCUCAUAAAGUACGUCGUAGUCCGGAUUGGAGUCUGCAACUCGACUCCAUGAAGUCGGAAUCGCUAGUAAUCGUAGAUCAGAAUGCUACGGUGAAUACGUUCCCGGGCCUUGUACACACCGCCCGUCACACCAUGGGAGUGGGUUGCAAAAGAAGUAGGUAGCUUAACCUUCGGGAGGGCGCUUACCACUUUGUGAUUCAUGACUGGGGUG
rnacentral:rRNA from 1 species